rnacentral:rRNA from 1 species
GACAGAGGGUGCAAACGUUGUUCGGAAUUACUGGGGCGUAAAGCGCGUGUAGGCGGCCUCGCAAGUCGGGUGUGAAAGCCCCUGGGCUCAACCCAGGAAGUGCACUCGAUACUGCAAGGCUUGAGUUCCGGAGAGGAAAGCGGAAUUCCCGGUGUAGCGGUGAAAUGCGCAGAUAUCGGGAGGAACACCAAUGGCGAAGGCAGCUCGCUGGGACGGUACUGACGCUGAGGCGCGAAAGCGUGGGGAGCAAACAGG